GUCUGCCAUACGCUCGGAAACGUGGUUACAGAUGUCUAGUGAACUUAUUAAAAAGCGGAUUUUAUACUUUUAUUUAAGCAGCGUAAUGGAUCGACUGGUAAAAACAAAGAAGCAGCGAAAGUGCCGACUAAAGGGGAUUAAUCAUAUUGCUUUUUGUGAUAUUUUAACUCAAAAAGAGACGAAAGUGAGUUGAUCCCAUUCAUUUCCUUCUUGUUGAAUGGACCCGAGAGAAGAACAUUUUAUAAGAUAUUACACUUGACCGUCUUUGGGGUCUGCUGAGGAGGUUGUGGAGGCUCCUGUGCUGCCGUGGGCCCGAUUGCUCUGAAGUAAAUGUUUCUGUGGAGGAAACAUCACGAAGCUCUGUUCGUCCAUGGUUUGAGGAUUAUGAAGAUGAUGAUGGAAUAUAGUUCCGUUCAUUGAGUCAUUUCAGAUGACUACUUUCUUCAAGUUGGUGACAAACCAAACAGCAGAAUACUUGAGAUGUACAACACAGAAUUAUGGAAGUUUGAUACCCCGAAGAUAAAUCGGUCUGCUCUAAAAUCAUCCCUGCCUAACUGAAGCCCACUGUCCACCAGAAACAUACUGCAGCCAGUGUAUGUUUUCAAUUGUUUCCAAUGGAAGUGCUGCUGUUUAUAAAGAAAAGAACUCUCAUUAAUGUCAGUUAACCUAGCCGUCCAAUAACAGUGAAGGAAGGGCAUGACAAAAACGCUGGGCUGCCGUUUUCAGCUGUGUUAAGCGCUUUGGUGGACAGGGCGCCUAGGAUUACGAAGGUGAAAAGCACACUGAGUUCUCCAGGCAAUGUGUAUGUGCUCUCCACAUCCUGUCAUUUUUGGAUGCCUACGGUUCAUGAUGACGGUGUCUUCAUGUUUGGACAAACUACUUGGACCAUGUGACCUUCACUCUUCGGCCUUGAUAGACACACAACUUCCUUUUUUGUCACUCUGUGGAUGUGCAGAAGCCCAGAGUUUGAUUCUGUGUGUGCAAAACUGACCUGAAGAGGGUUACGCCCAUGCAGCUGAGGACAGACUGCAACAUAGAGCAGCAAAUGGAGUUAAUGAUUUUCUUAAUGACAUGAGUGAGUGUCGAAAUUACUGGCACGUCCAGUGACUAAACAAAGUAAACUUAAUUUUAUGCAAAUGAGCUUUGAUGCAGUAAGCUAACUACCAACAGGACAGUGGAGCACAGGCGUUUCAUCAAAUGUGACUUACUGUAGUGAAAGAUAAUGUAUUUAACAAAUGCAGCAGAAGAUUUUCUUUCAUUGGAACAGAUCUCAAAUGCUUUGGGUGCUCUCGCCUCUUCUCAGUCAAGAUGUUGUGUUUAUAUGGCUCUCUGGUAUCUCUUGACACUUGAUGUUUAAAUGUGAGAUGAUAACGCGUUAAACUUGUUACAUCAUCACAUUUUGCACCUCAUCAAGUGUGUUUUCAUCUUAUCAGAGUGAAGCCGAAAAUCACUGCGUUCUUUUAAAACCAUAGUGCCUAAUUAGUGUAAUUACGGCGCAAUUUGUGGGACGCUGUCUUUGUCAAACGGAUCACGUAUCCGGGUCCGGAAUUAAAAUAAUGCUACUGUUGGAUAACUGGUCAAGUGCUGUUUCCACUGCGUGUGUGUGGCUGUGACAUUAUUGCUUGCGCCACUGGUCCGGCCGAUCAUGCGUAAAAUCUGCUGCAUUGCUACUUGUAAGGUACUCGCCAGCAUUUAAGCAUGUGUAGUAGAUGAAAUCACUAGCUCUUCCAGUAUCCAGUCUUGAAUAAUGAAUACCAACUACUGCUACCUGCUGUUACACAAAGUCCGUUUGGUGUCAGGGCAACUUUGGACCCAAAUGAGUUCAGUUUGGUUUGUCCCUACCCUAAAGCUGUGGUCAUACUAGACUUUGAGUAUGCAUUGCAAGUACUCGUCGGACGUUGCUGCGGGGAGCAGUUUAUCAAUUUGAUCUUUGGCUUCGUCCAUUUGUGCUUUUCAGUAGAGAGAACGGUCACACAGGGUUUGACAUACCCGUUUUGUACGGAUCACGACCAUAGACUGUAAAAAAAUAUGGACGUAGUGUCGGUGAUGUCACCCGUAGGGUUGUAAAGAGCUUUUUUGAAGCCAAUAGUUGGCGGAGCCAGGUGUCACUCCAUUGUAACAUGGGGGUCUAUGGGAGUCACUUCAAUAUAGGCAUGGGCCGGUAUGAGAUUUUGGCGGUAUGAUAGCCAUAAGCAAAAAUACCCCAGUUUCACGUGCGGUUUUGACGUUGCACCACUAAUAUGUGUUAUUUUUAGAUGCCUACGUACACAAACAAAAACUUUUAACUGGACACAAUACAUUUUAUUUUUAAGCAACAUACAAUAUGUAUGCAGGACAAAAAUAUAAUUAAUAUUUUUUUAUAAAAAACUUUUUUAUUAUAUUGACUUAAUGAUUUAAUAAAUUUUGUGUAAACACACAGCUCAUACGGUUUCACAGAAAAUGUUGGUGGUUUUGAAACCUUAACUCUUUAAAACCUUGGUAUACCUGGUAAUCGGCCCAUGCCUACUUCCAUAUUGGCUUCACCAGAGAGAUCGGAAGGUUGCCCCUCGGUCACAAUGCUCCACGUGAUACAAAUUCGACCUGCAAAAUAUUGUGACAUGAGCCUGCAUUUCUGGUCCGACUCAUUUGCAUGUGUAUGAAAGAAAGUCAAUAGAACGUGUCUAGUGUGACCGGCCCUCAAGAUGUAACUGUUACUGUCUUAUACUGUUGUACAAAAUCUUUCUUGCCAACAUUAGUUCGGUUAGUUUGACUUAUGUAAGGAAUAAUUGACGACAGGCUGUUGAAGUAUAAGAAAUGUGUAAAUAUAUAAAAAAAAUGUAAAGUUCCAACGUACUGUGGGAGUAACACUGCAUUAUUUAACAGAAAACUUUGAAAACAAUGUCACAUAUUGUCGGAAAGCUGAGAUUCUUGUGAUUCAAAUGAUGUAAACCCUUUCAAGAUACUAUCAACACAGCAGGUACAAUUAGUGUCCUUUUUAGGUGUGUUUUUAUCCUUUUAGAAUGCUUCAUCCCCUUUAAAGCACAAUUUUACUGCAUCUUAUGUAAAGCCCCAUAAGAAACAAGUGGACAUAAAACCAGUCAAAUUAUAGAUUUCUAAAACUGUGGGUGUUUUUUGUAUGAUUUCCAAAUUUGUAUGGAAAAAGUGCCUUUUUUUUAGUCAGACGGUGGUUCAUGAUUUAUUACUUUCAGGGCAUUCCUUUAGUGAAACUGUGAUUCUCCAAUGGGAGUGGGAGCCGAAGGGUUUACAGUCAGGGCAUUGUGUGGUGUUGCAUCCUACUUGACAUCAAACACCAGUGGGACAACUGAAAAGCAUGCCACUUACAACACCAAAGUUGUUUUUUCCUCAGGAAAUAAGCACAUUGGAAAAAUGUUUACUAGUUUGAAUUUACUGUAACUGGCUUUGGUUAAAAAAUUCUGCCAAAUGCAUCUCAGGAUUGGUGUCAUUUAUAAUAAUAAUGUGUGGGUUCAUGUAUGUAACAUCAUUGUAGAAUAUAAACAGCUUUACAUUAUUCUGAAACUUUGUGAUAUCUGUUUUUGUUUUUAAACACAAUAUGCUUGCCUGGAAUGUUUUCUAUUCAUAUAAGGUUAAGACAUUUUCACAUAAUGCUGUCUUGGCUUUGAUAAUGACACAAGCAACAUAACAAGGGUGGUGUCUUGCCCAUUCUGCAGAGCUGCACCCGGCUGAAUUUUAGGGGAAAACCUGAAGUCAUAAAAGUCCCCAAGACUAAAGAUUCCUGUAGAGAUGUGGCAAUAUUUCUCUGUGACCCUUACCUAAGGAUUUAUCGGUGUUAGCUUAAAUAGCAUAUUUCAUAGUUUUAGUCAUAAGUUUAAUGGUAUAAUGCAACAUGACUAGAUCAUUUCCACUUCAGUCAAAGCAGUAGUUGGG